CCUACGGGAGGCAGCAGUGGGGAAUAUUGGACAAUGGGGGCAACCCUGAUCCAGCCAUGCCGCGUGAGUGAAGAAGGCCUUCGGGUUGUAAAGCUCUUUCAGAUGCGAAGAUGAUGACGGUAACAUCAGAAGAAGCCCCGGCUAAUUUCGUGCCAGCAGCCGCGGUAAUACGAAAGGGGCUAGCGUUGUUCGGAUUUACUGGGCGUAAAGGGCACGCAGGCGGUCUUGCCAGUCAGGGGUGAAAGCCCGAGGCUCAACCUCGGAACUGCCUCUGAUACUGUAAGACUUGAGACUAGGAGAGGGUGGUGGAAUUCCCAGUGUAGAGGUGAAAUUCGUAGAUAUUGGGAGGAACACCAGAGGCGAAGGCGGCCACCUGGACUAGAUCUGACGCUCAGGUGAGAAAGCGUGGGGAGCAAACAGGAUUAGAUACCCUGGUAGUCCACGCCGUAAACGAUGAGUGCUAGUUGUCGGGACUUCGGUUUCGGUGACGCAGCUAACGCAU
rnacentral:rRNA from 1 species